UCUGGUGGAGGUUGUGUUAGUAUUGCCAUGGGUAGUGUUAUGAGCCUGGUGAUAUUGACAAGGCUCUGAUGGAGGUUGUGUUAGUAUUGCCAUGGGUAGUGUUAUGAGCCUGGUGAUAUUGACAAGGCUCUGAUGGAGGUUGUGUUAGUAUUGCCAUGGGUAGUGUUAUGAGCCUGGUGAUAUAUUGACAAGGCUCUGAUGGAGGUUGUGUUAGUAUUGCCAUGGGUAGUGUUAUGAGCCUGGUGAUAUCUCAACAAGGCUCUGAUGGAGGUUGUUGUGUUAGUAUAGCCAUGGGUAGUGUUAUGAGCCUGGUGAUAUUGACAAGGCUCUGAUGGAGGUUGUUGUGUUAGUAUUGCCAUGGGUAGUGUUAUGAGCCUGGUGAUAUCUCAACAAGGCUAUGGUGGAGGUUGUUGUGUUAGUAUUGCCAUGGGUAGUGUUAUGAGCCUGGUGAUAUCUCAACAAGGCUAUGGUGGAGGUUGUGUUAGUAUUGCCAUGGGUAGUGUUAUGAGCCUGGUGAUAUUGACAAGGCUCUGAUGGAGGUUGUGUUAGUAUUGCCAUGGGUAGUGUUAUGAGCCUGGUGAUAUCUCAACAAGGCUCUGAUGGAGGUUGUGUUAGUAUUGCCAUGGGUAGUGUUAUGAGCCUGGUGAUAUUGACUAGGCUAUGGUGGAGGUUGUGUUAGUAUUGCCAUGGGUAGUGUUAUGAGCCUGGUGAUAUAUUGACAAGGCUCUGAUGGAGGUUGUGUUAGUAUUGCCAUGGGUAGUGUUAUGAGCCUGGUGAUAUAUUGACAAGGCUCUGAUGGAGGUUGUGUUAGUAUUGCCAUGGGUAGUGUUAUGAGCCUGGUGAUAUUGACAAGGCUCUGGUGGAGGUUGUGUUAGUAUUGCCAUGGGUAGUGUUAUGAGCCUGGUGAUAUAUUGACAAGGCUAUGGUGGAGGUUGUGUUAGUAUUGCCAUGGGUAGUGUUAUGAGCCUGGUGAUAUUGACAAGGCUAUGGUGGAGGUUGUUGUGUUAGUAUUGCCAUGGGUAGUGUUAUGAGCCUGGUGAUAUUGACAAGGCUAUGGUGGAGGUUGUGUUAGUAUUGCCAUGGGUAGUGUUAUGAGCCUGGUGAUAUUGACAAGGCUAUGGUGGAGGUUGUUGUGUUAGUAUUGCCAUGGGUAGUGUUAUGAGCCUGGUGAUAUCUCAACAAGGCUCUGAUGGAGGUUGUGUUAGUAUUGCCAUGGGUAGUGUUAUGAGCCUGGUGAUAUCUCAACAAGGCUAUGGUGGAGGUUGUUGUGUUAGUAUUGCCAUGGGUAGUGUUAUGAGCCUGGUGAUAGAAUCUGUAUGCUCAUAACACCACCCACCUCUUGCUUAACACCACAACCACCACCAUAACACACUCCUGACACCAAUUUGACCCCACCACCACCACCAC